rnacentral:lncRNA from 10 species
CCUCCUAAGCGUUCCUUUCAUUACUAGUGAGGGUGUAGCAUAUUUUCAUGCAGUUAUAUAUAGCUUUUGGUUGUCUUUUCCAGUGACAUUUAUACCUUUGGCUUACUUUUUGUCACACUGCCUCUUUCUUGUCAAUUUGCAUGAGCUGUUUCUAUUUUUGUCAUGUUGCAUGUUGUCUCACUGACCUAGUCUUGGGAGUCACUCUUCGUUAUUUCUGCAACGUCCUUCCAGUUACACCAGCGAGGCUUACUUAGUGUGGGAGGGACGCGAGCUCCAAGGAUCAGGGACUGUGAGGCUGUCUGUGAGGCUGGCUACCACGGAAGUUGCAAAUAGGGAUGAUUUUCCUACUUUUGUUCCUUAUCUUCUGACCUUUAACAGGUCAUUUUCUACAGAUCUGUCAGUCUUUUUAUUUGUACUUUUUAAAUUGGUAUUUUGCUAAGGAAGGCCUUCUUUACCUCAAGAUUGUAAAAAUUCUGGGGAAUCUUUGAGAACAAGCAUCCGAGAGUCAUUUUUCUGAUCUUUCUUCAUUUGCACUGGAGUGGCGAUGCCAGGCUCUCAGAGGGUGUCCCAUGCACGAUUUCUCCUCACCCUCGGAACAAACCUAGCAGACACCAUAGCACCUGGCAUGACGGCUGACUCCUUCUCCCAGAACUAACUAUGGGAAAGCCACAGAUGGAAGAGGGAAGUGUGGACGUGAGGAGCAUGAGCGCCUAGAGAAGCCAGGGAGCGGCAGGACCGCCAUGUUGGAGGCCACGAGGACCAGCCCUCUGCCAC